GGAGAGAUGGCUCAGCAGUUAAGAGUACUAGCUGCUUUUCCAAGGACAUAGGUUCAAUUCCCAUCCCCUCCA
rnacentral:tRNA from 1 species